rnacentral:misc_RNA from 1 species
GAUGAAGAACGCAGCAAACUGCGAUAAGUAAUGUGAAUUGCAGAAUUCAGUGAAUCAUCGAAUCUUUGAACGCACAUUGCGCCCCUUGGUAUUCCAUGGGGCAUGCCUGUUCGAGCGUCAUUUGUACCUUCAAGCUUUGCUUGGUGUUGGGUGUUUGUCUCGCCUUUGCGUGUAGACUCGCCUUAAAAUAAUUGGCAGCCGGCGUAUUGAUUUCGGAGCGCAGUACAUCUCGCGCUUUGCACUCAUAACGACAGCGUCCAAAAGUACAUUUUACACUCUUGACCUCGGAUCAGGUAGGGAUACCCGCUGAACUUAAGCAUAUCAAUAAGCGGAGGA